GGAUGUUCUGAAGACCUGCUCUCUAGGCUACGCACGGAGGACGCCUGUUCCUCGAGGGCCGCGCGCCCGCCUAGGGGAAAGUCCCCGGACCGCGGGCAGAGAGUGCCGCGCGCCGCCGGCGCCCGCCCCGCCC
rnacentral:lncRNA from 1 species